rnacentral:rRNA from 1 species
AACGAACGCUGGCGGCGCGCCUAAUACAUGCAAGUCGAGCGAGAAGACGUAGCAAUACGUUUGUAAAGCGGCGAACGGGUGAGGAAUACAUGGGUAACCUACCCUCGAGUGGGGAAUAACUAGCCGAAAGGUUAGCUAAUACCGCGUACGCUCCUUGGACUUCGGUUCAGGGAGGAAAGCGAUACCGUGGGUAUCGCGCUCUUGGAUGGGCUCAUGUCCUAUCAGCUUGUUGGUGAGGUAACGGCUCACCAAGGCUUCGACGGGUAGCUGGUCUGAGAGGACGAUCAGCCACACUGGCACUGCGACACGGGCCAGACUCCUACGGGAGGCAGCAGUAAGGAAUAUUGCGCAAUGGGCGAAAGCCUGACGCAGCGACGCCGCGUGGGGGAUGAAGGUCUUCGGAUUGUAAACCCCUUUCGGGAGGGAAGAUGGAAUGGGUAACCCAUUCGGACGGUACCUCCAGAAGCAGCCACGGCUAACUUCGUGCCAGCAGCCGCAGUAA